rnacentral:rRNA from 1 species
CGGGGGGAGCAAGCGUUGUUCGGAUUUACUGGGCGUAAAGGGCGCGUAGGCGGCCAGCGCAAGUCAGUUGUGAAAUCUCCGGGCUUAACUCGGAAAGGUCAACUGAUACUGCGCGGCUAGAGUGCAGAAGGGGCAACUGGAAUUCUCGGUGUAGCGGUGAAAUGCGUAGAUAUCGAGAGGAACACCUGCGGCGAAGGCGGGUUGCUGGGCUGACACUGACGCUGAUGCGCGAAAGCCUGGGGAGCGAACGGGAUUAGAUACCCCGGUAGUCCUGGCCUUAAACGAUGGAUGCUUGGUGUCUGGAGUUUUUAUAGUCUCCGGGUGCCGUAGCUAACGCGUUAAGCAUCCCGCCUGGGGAGUACGGUCGCAAGACUG